UUAAGGAACAAAGAGCAUAAGGUGAAUGCCUUGGUGAUUAGAGCCGAAGAAGGACGUGGCAAGCUGCGAAAAGCUAUGAUAAGGAGCAAACAUCCGUUACAGUCAUAGAUCUCCGAAUGAGGAAACUCACUUAAUAGAGAUAUUAAGUAUCCAUUGCUGAAUACAUAGGCAAUAGGAAGGGAACCCACCGAACUGAAACAUCUAAGUAAGUGGAGGAAAAGAAAGAAACAUCGAUUCCCAAAGUAGCGGCGAGCGAAAUGGGAGGAGGCCAAACCGAAUAAGGAAACUUAAUCGGGGUGAGGGAAGCUAACAAUAUGAUUGAGGUAUCGCAAAGGAAAUACUUGGGAAAGUAUACCAAAGAAGGUAAGAGUCCUGUACUUGAAGCGAGAAAACACAUAAGCUUUACCCGAGUAUCGUAGGACACGAGGAACCCUGCGAGAAAGAUGGGGGACCACCCCCAAAGCCUAAAUACUACUAAUCAACCGAUAGAAAAUAGUACCGUGAGGGAAAGGUGAAAAGAACCCCGGGAGGGGAGUGAAAAAGAACCUGAAACCAUAUGCUUACAAACAGCAGGAGCGAGCAAUCGUAACUGCGUACUUUUUGUAGAACGGGCCAACGAGUUAUGCUGUAAAGCAAGGAUAAUAAAUUAAGUUUAGCAUCCAAAGCGAAAGCGAGUCUUAAUAGGGCGAAAAGUUAUGCAGCAUAGACCCGAAACCGGGCGACCUACCCAUGAGCAGGUUGAAGUUUCAGUAACAUGAAAUGGAGGACCGAACCCACGAACGUUGAAAAGUUCGGGGAUGACUUGUGGGUAGCGGUGAAAUUCCAAUCGAGCUCGGAGAUAGCUGGUUCUCUUCGAAAUAGCUUUAGGGCUAGCGUCUUAAGAAGUGUAUAUCGGGGGUAGAGCACUGAAUGCUCUAGGGGCCGUAUAGGUUACCGAAAGCUAUCAAACUUCGAAUACCGAUAUAUAAAUAAGGCAGUCAGACUACGAGUGAUAAGAUCCGUGGUCAAGAGGGAAAAAGCCCAGAUCAACAGCUAAGGUCCCAAAAUGUAUGUUAAGUGGAAAAGGAUGUGAAAUUGCACAGACAACCAGGAUGUUGGCUUAGAAGCAGCCAUACAUUAAAAGAGUGCGUAAUAGCUCACUGGUCGAGUGGUUUUGCGCCGAAAAUUACCGGGGCUCAAACAUACUACCGAAGCUUUGAACGUGUGAGAUUUUACUAAGAACUUAAGUAAAAUCCAAGAGAAGAUAUAUUAAAAUCUAACCGAUAAAAAAAGAAACAAAUAAGAAACAAAUAAGAAACAAAGACAAAUAAACAAAGAAAAAAAUCAUAUAAUAAAGAAGAAUAAAAAGUAAUAUAAAACUAAAGAUUUUAAUUAAAUUUCUCAAAGAAAAAACAUACUAAAUGAAAGCUUAAGAGUUUAGUAAAAUCUCACACGUGGUAGAAGAGCAUCGUAUGAUAGGGAGAAGGAGGAUUGAAAAAGACUCUGGACGAAAUACGAGAGAGAAUGUUGGCAUGAGUAGCGAGAUGUGUGUGAGAAUCACACAGGCCGAAAACCCAAGGUUUUCCAAGGAAGGUUCGUCCGCUUGGAGUAAGUCGGGGCCUAAGGAGAGGCAGAAAUGCGUAUCUGAUGGAUAACAGGUUAAGAUUCCUGUACCUACGCUUAUCGCCAAAGAGGAGAAGGAAUGACGCAGGAGGAUAAGAUCAGCGCACGGUUGGAAGAGUGCGUCCAAGCAGUAAGGCAGGCAUAUAGGCAAAUCCGUAUGCUGGUAAUGUUGAGCUGUGACGGGGAGAGAAGUUAAGUAUCGAAGGAUCUGAUUUCACACUGACAGGAAAAGUUUCUAUCCAGAUAAGAGUAGCCCGUACCAAAACCGACACAGGUGGGUAAGGUGAGAAACCUAAGGCCAGCGAGAGAACUGUUGUUAAGGAACUCGGCAAAAUGACCCCGUAACUUAGGGAUAAGGGGUGCCUUAGAGAUAAGGCUUCAAGAAAAAGGCCCAAGCGACUGUUUACCAAAAACAUAGGUCUCUGCGAAACCGCAAGGUGAAGUAUAGGGGCUGACGCCUGCCCGGUGCUGGAAGGUUAAGAGGAGAUGUCAGGCAACGAAGCAUUGAAUUUAAGCCCCAGUAAACGGCGGCCGUAACUAUAACGGUCCUAAGGUAGCGAAAUUCCUUGUCGGGUAAGUUCCGACCCGCACGAAAGGCGUAACGAUUUGGGCACUGUCUCAACGA
rnacentral:rRNA from 1 species